UACGUAGGUGGCAAGCGUUGUCCGGAUUUACUGGGCGUAAAGAGCGCGCAGGCGGUCGUUCAAGUCGCGUGUGAAAGCCCCCGGCUCAACUGGGGAGGGUCACGCGAUACUGAUCGACUCGAAGGCAGGAGAGGGUAGUGGAAUUCCCGGUGUAGUGGUGAAAUGCGUAGAUAUCGGGAGGAACACCAGUGGCGAAGGCGACUCACUGGCCCGAUACUGACGCUGAGGCGCGAAAGCCAGGGGAGCAAACGGG
rnacentral:rRNA from 1 species